UACGGAGGAUGCGAGCGUUAUCCGGAUUUAUUGGGCGUAAAGGGAGCGUAGGCGGAUUUUUAAGUGAGAUGUGAAAUACUCGGGCUCAACUUGAGUGCUGCAUUUCAAACUGGAAGUCUAGAGUGCAGGAGAGGAGAAUGGAAUUCCUAGUGUAGCGGUGAAAUGCGUAGAGAUUAGGAAGAACACCAGUGGCGAAGGCGAUUCUCUGGACUGUAACUGACGCUGAGGCUCGAAAGCGUGGGGAGCAAACAGG
rnacentral:rRNA from 1 species